GAGCGGCGGACGGGUGAGUAAUGUCUGGGAAACUGCCUGAUGGAGGGGGAUAACUACUGGAAACGGUAGCUAAUACCGCAUGACCUCGCAAGAGCAAAGUGGGGGACCUUCGGGCCUCACGCCAUCGGAUGUGCCCAGAUGGGAUUAGCUAGUAGGUGAGGUAAUGGCUCACCUAGGCGACGAUCCCUAGCUGGUCUGAGAGGAUGACCAGCCACACUGGAACUGAGACACGGUCCAGACUCCUACGGGAGGCAGCAGUGGGGAAUAUUGCACAAUGGGCGCAAGCCUGAUGCAGCCAUGCCGCGUGUGUGAAGAAGGCCUUAGGGUUGUAAAGCACUUUCAGCGAGGAGGAAGGGUUCAGUGUUAAUAGCACUGAACAUUGACGUUACUCGCAGAAGAAGCACCGGCUAACUCCGUGCCAGCAGCCGCGGUAAUACGGAGGGUGCAAGCGUUAAUCGGAAUUACUGGGCGUAAAGCGCACGCAGGCGGUUUGUUAAGUCAGAUGUGAAAUCCCCGAGCUUAACUUGGGAACUGCAUUUGAAACUGGCAAGCUAGAGUCUUGUAGAGGGGGGUAGAAUUCCAGGUGUAGCGGUGAAAUGCGUAGAGAUCUGGAGGAAUACCGGUGGCGAAGGCGGCCCCCUGGACAAAGACUGACGCUCAGGUGCG
rnacentral:rRNA from 1 species